rnacentral:rRNA from 1 species
UGAGUAGGCGGUUGUAUAUGUCAGGUGUAAAAGGCUAUGGCUUAACCAUGGUUAGCACUUGAAACUGUACGACUUGAGUGCAGGAGAGGUAAGUGGAAUUCCUAGUGUAGCGGUGAAAUGCGUAGAUAUUAGGAGGAACACCAGUGGCGAAGGCGACUUACUGGACUGUAACUGACGCUGAGUCACGAAAGCGUGGGUAGCAAACA